rnacentral:rRNA from 1 species
GUGAGGAAUAUUGGACAAUGGGCGCAAGCCUGAUCCAGCCAUGCCGCGUGCAGGAAGACGCAUCUAUGGUGUGUAAACUGCUUUUGUACGGGAAGAAACACUCCCUCGUGAGGGAGCUUGACGGUACCGUAAGAAUAAGGAUCGGCUAACUCCGUGCCAGCAGCCGCGGUAAUGCGGAGGAUCCAAGCGUUAUCCGGAAUCAUUGGGUUUAAAGGGUCCGUAGGCGGUUUAAUAAGUCAGUGGUGAAAGCCCAUCGCUCAACGAUGGAACGGCCAUUGAUACUGUUAGACUUGAAUUACAAGGAAGUAAAUAGAAGAUGUAGUGUAGCGGUGAAAUGCUUAGAUAUUACAUGGAAUACCAAUUGCGAAGGCAGGUUACUACUUGUGGAUUGACGCUGAUGGACGAAAGCGUGGGGAGCGAACAGGAUUAGAAACCCGGGUAGUCC